rnacentral:rRNA from 1 species
AUGAACGCUGGCGGCGUGGAUUAGGCAUGCAAGUCGAACGCGAAAGUGGGGGCAACUCCGCGAGUAGAGUGGCGAAAGGGUGAGUAAUGCUUGGAUGACCUGCCUUCGAGACGGGGACAACAGUUCGAAAGGACUGCUAAUACCCGAUGGUCCGCCCCGGAUGCGUCCGGGGUGGUAAAUGGUUGAUUCCGCUCGAUGAGGGGUCCAAGUCCUAUCAGCUAGUUGGUGAGGUCAUGGCUCACCAAGGCGAUGACGGGUAGCCGGACUGAGAGGUUGGCCGGCCACAUGGGAACUGAGACACUGUCCUGACUCCUACGGGAGGCUGCAGUCGAGAAUCUUCUGCAAUGGGCGCAAGCCUGACAGAGCGACGCCGCGUGGAGGAUGAAGGCCUUCGGGUUGUAAACUCCUGUCACAUGUUAAGAACCGCAUGGGUUACACCCAUGCCUGACAAAAGCAUGAGAGGAAGUCACGGCUAACUUCGU